rnacentral:lncRNA from 1 species
GAAUACUCGUCUGAGUGUCCUGUUGAAAUUGUUGAGUGUUAAUGGCCAAACUUUUAACAAUAUCUUCCAAGGACAUACCUGAAUUAGAUGAAGAUGCUUGCUGCUGAAACUGUUUAGGCUGAUAACUUUGAGAAUUUUGUUGUUUAUAGCUAAAGUUCGGGUGAUUUCGCCAUCCUGGGUUGUACGUAUUUGAGAAAGGAUCGUACUUUCUUUGUGGAGGACCUGGAAACCCGUUGACAGCAUCCACAUGCUGGUCGUCCUCUUGAAGUGAUGGGCACAUAUCAGUGGGAUGACCCGUAUUAGCGCAAAUUCCACAAGCUUUGGCUUGUUGUACCUUCUCUGCAACAAGAUUUUCAACUAAAGUGGUUAGAUGAGAAAGUUUAGACUCAACAGAAUAAUUGCUUACCUCAGAAACUCUCCUAUGAGAGUCUUG